rnacentral:sRNA from 1 species
GCGAGUCGCUGUCGGUCGCUCAGCCAGAAGGUCGAGGGAACAGCGCGGGUGUCCCUCGCCAGCCGGCCCUCUGGGAACAGGGCGGGGGCGACACCCCAGAGAGUAGGGCUGAGGACGGCAGAAAUCAAUCGUUAGCACUCUACGUAUAUGAAUAUCUGCUCCAUGUAGGAGCUCAGAAAUCAGCCCAAACAUUUUUAUCAGAGAUAAGAUGGGAAAAAAACAUCACAUUGGGGGAACCACCAGGAUUCUUACAUUCUUGGUGGUGUGUAUUUUGGGAUCUCUACUGUGCAGCUCCAGAGAGACGUGAAACAUGUGAACACUCAAGUGAAGCAAAAGCCUUCCAUGAUUACAGUGCUGCAGCAGCUCCCAGUCCAGUGCUAGGAAACAUUCCCCCAGGAGAUGGCAUGCCAGUAGGUCCUGUACCACCAGGGUUCUUUCAGCCUUUUAUGUCACCUCGGUACCCUGGAGGUCCAAGGCCCCCACUGAGGAUACCUAAUCAGGCACUUGGAGGUGUCCCAGGAAGUCAGCCAUUACUCCCCAGUGGAAUGGAUCCAACUCGACAACAAGGACAUCCAAAUAUGGGUGGGCCAAUGCAGAGAAUGACUCCUCCAAGAGGAAUGGUGCCCUUAGGACCACAGAACUAUGGAGGUGCAAUGAGACCCCCACUGAAUGCUUUAGGUGGCCCUGGAAUGCCUGGAAUGAACAUGGGUCCAGGUGGUGGUAGACCUUGGCCAAACCCAACAAAUGCCAAUUCAAUACCAUACUCCUCAGCAUCUCCUGGGAAUUAUGUAGGUCCUCCAGGAGGUGGAGGGCCACCAGGAACACCCAUCAUGCCUAGUCCAGCA